GCCUUGGCACUAGAAGCCGAUGAAGGACGUUACUAACGACGAUAUGCUUUGGGUAGCUGUAAGUAAGCGUUGAUCCAGAGAUUUCCGAAUGGGGGAACCCAACACAAGUUAUGUUGUGUUAUCGACAAGUGAAUUCAUAGCUUGUCAGAAGGCAGACCCGGAGAACUGAAACAUCUUAGUACCCGGAGGAAGAGAAAGAAAAUUCGAUUCCCUGAGUAGCGGCGAGCGAAACGGGAAGAGCCCAAACCAAUAAGCUUGCUUAUUGGGGUUGUAGGACACUCUAUACGGAGUUACAAAGGAAUAUAUUAAACGAAUCAUCUGGAAAGUUGAAUCAAAGAAGGUAAUAAUCCUGUAGUUGAAAAUAUAUUCUCUCUUGAGUGGAUCCUGAGUACGACGGAGCACGUGAAAUUCCGUCGGAAUCUGGGAGGACCAUCUCCUAAGGCUAAAUACUCUCUAGUGACCGAUAGUGAACCAGUACCGUGAGGGAAAGGUGAAAAGUACCCCGGAAGGGGAGUGAAAGAGAACUUGAAACCGUGUGCUUACAAGUAGUCAGAGCCCGUUAAUGGGUGAUGGCGUGCCUUUUGUAGAAUGAACCGGCGAGUUACGAUCUGAUGCAAGGUUAAGCAGAAAAUGUGGAGCCGUAGCGAAAGCGAGUCUGAAUAGGGCGUAUAGUAUUUGGUCGUAGACCCGAAACCAGGUGAUCUACCCAUGGUCAGGUUGAAGUUCAGGUAACACUGAAUGGAGGACCGAACCGACUUACGUUGAAAAGUGAGCGGAUGAACUGUGGGUAGCGGAGAAAUUCCAAUCGAACUUGGAGAUAGCUGGUUCUCUCCGAAAUAGCUUUAGGGCUAGCCUCAAGUGAUGAUUAUUGGAGGUAGAGCACUGUUUGGACGAGGGGCCCCUCUCGGGUUACCGAAUUCAGACAAACUCCGAAUGCCAAUUAAUUUAACUUGGGAGUCAGAACAUGGGUGAUAAGGUCCGUGUUCGAAAGGGAAACAGCCCAGACCACCAGCUAAGGUCCCAAAAUAUAUGUUAAGUGGAAAAGGAUGUGGCGUUGCCCAGACAACUAGGAUGUUGGCUUAGAAGCAGCCAUCAUUUAAAGAGUGCGUAAUAGCUCACUAGUCGAGUGACACUGCGCCGAAAAUGUACCGGGGCUAAACAUAUUACCGAAGCUGUGGAUUGUCCUUUGGACAAUGGUAGGAGAGCGUUCUAAGGGCGUUGAAGCAUGAUCGCAAGGACAUGUGGAGCGCUUAGAAGUGAGAAUGCCGGUGUGAGUAGCGAAAGACGGGUGAGAAUCCCGUCCACCGAUUGACUAAGGUUUCCAGAGGAAGGCUCGUCCGCUCUGGGUUAGUCGGGUCCUAAGCUGAGGCCGACAGGCGUAGGCGAUGGAUAACAGGUUGAUAUUCCUGUACCACCUA
rnacentral:rRNA from 1 species